rnacentral:rRNA from 1 species
UUUUUGGAGAGUUUGAUCCUGGCUCAGGACGAACGCUGGCGGCGUGCCUAAUACAUGCAAGUCGAGCGGAGUGUUCCCUUCGGGGUUCACUUAGCGGCGGACGGGUGAGUAACACGUAGGCAACCUGCCCAUAAGACCGGGAUAACUGGCGGAAACGCCUGCUAAUACCGGAUAAUCGAUUCGCUCGCCUGAGCGAAUCGUGAAAGAUGCUUCGGCAUCGCUUGUGGAUGGGCCUGCGGCGCAUUAGCUAGUUGGCGGGGUAACGGCCCACCAAGGCGACGAUGCGU